rnacentral:sRNA from 17 species
AGCUGUCACGCCUGCCUAUGCACGCGACAGCUGUUCCCCUCUGGAGGUUUUAACCUUCAAACUCAUUGGCCGCGGAGAAAUCCGGCGGCCAUUUUU